CACGUAGGGACCGAGCGUUGUCCGGAUUUAUUGGGCGUAAAGAGCGUGUAGGCGGUUCGGUAAGUCUGUCGUGAAAUCCUGAGGCUCAACCUCGGGCGUGCGAUGGAUACUGCCGGGCUAGAGGGUGGUAGAGGCGAGUGGAAUUCCCGGUGUAGCGGUGAAAUGCGCAGAUAUCGGGAGGAACACCAGUAGCGAAGGCGGCUCGCUGGGCCACACCUGACGCUGAGACGCGAAAGCUAGGGGAGCGAACAGG
rnacentral:rRNA from 1 species